CAUCAAAGUAUUUUAAAGGGGUUAUUAAGGAUAACUAUCAAAUUUAUAUAAAAGGAGGUUAUCAUGCCAAAUGCUUUCUAAAAAUAUUUAUUAUAUUUUUUAAACUAGGAAAGCGAUCCUAAGGUAAACCUUAACUAUUAAAUACUUCCUGAAGUAAAACAUUUUAUUAAGGAAAGGAAAGGAAAUCAACCGAGACUCCGAAAGUAAUGGUGAGUGAAAUCGGAUUAGCCUAAUUUACUUAUAAAUUAAAAUAAUAAAAAUUUCUAAUUUUUAUUAACAUAAUUAAUUAAAAAAAAAAUAAAAAUUAAUUUAGUUCAAAAAUAGGUGAAAAUAUAAGUAAGUCCUGUAAAUUUAUAAGUAAAUUAAUUAUAAAAUAAAAAAGUACGACGAGAGAUAACUUGUUGGAAUAAAGGGGAACCAUCCUCUAAGGCUAAGUAUUAUAAAUUUAGUGAUAGUGAAAAAGUACUGUAAAGGAAAUGUUUUGAAAGAAAAAUAGGUUGUUAUACCAAAAAUCUUAAAUUUACUCGUGGCUGCAAAGCGCGCACAAAUUUGAGUUUGAAAUAAUAUUGAAUUAGUAACUCUAUAAGCAGUCGAAAUUCUACUUUAAAUAAAGAUUAAUGAAUGACGGCGUACCUUUUGCAUAAUGGGUCAGCAAGUUAAUAGGAGUAGCAAGGUUAAAAGCCCUAGCGAAAGCGACUGGACUAUAUAAAUAUAGUGAUGGAUAAGUUACUUCUAUUAGACCCGAAGCGAGGUGAUCUUACUUGGACCAGAUUAUAAUUGAUCGAACGGGUGAAUGUUGCAUAAUUCUCCGAUGAGUUCAAGUAAGCGGUGAAAUGCCAAUCUGACCUCGUGCUAUCUGGUUUUCUACCGAAACAUAUUUAAGUAUGACAUCUACAUAUAUAGAUUUAUGGAGGUACAGAAAGGCAACUCCCAACAAGAAUUAGGUUUAGUGUGUAGUAAAUUAUUUUUACUGCAUCGUACCUCUUUGGCGUUUAGGAUGCGGGGACGUAGAACUCUUACCUUUGGAGGCGAAUCUCGGAAUUACAUAAAUUGAUAGUAGAUAUUCAGACUAUUCAUGCUAAGUUGAAUAGUCAAGACGGAAACAGCCGAGAACACAGAUCAAGGUCCCAAAUGAUUGUUAAGUGAAAUUAAGGACGUAGCAUAAUCGAGUACAGCUGUUAAGUGAGCCUGGUAGUCGCUACUUAUAAUGAUCGUAUGUAACAACGCAUCAGCAGAAAGACUGUAGCGCCGAAAAUUUAACGGGUCUUAAACAAUCAACCGAUAUCGUGUUGGUAUAGAAUAAAAUAUUAUUUUUAUUUUAUUCUUUAUCUAGGUAGUAGAACAUUCAGUCAAUCUAUUGAAAAAAUAGUGUUUCAUUAUUUAUAGAGGCAACUGAAGAGAGAAUGCUGACAUGAGUAACGUAAAAGAAGAUAUUAACUUCUCGCCGAAAACGAAAGGGUUACAUAAUAGUGUUAAUGCGGCCUCUAAGGACCCUAACCAAAGUUAUGGCUGAUGAGUAAAUAAUAGAAAGUCCUAUCAUAAUUACAAAUUAAUGGACCAGGAAAUUAAUAUUUAAUAAUAAUAUUAUAUUAAUAAAAUUUAAUAAGUUAAAAAAACAAUAAAAUAUAUAGUUAUUUUGUUGGGGCACUGCUUUCUUCGAAGAAAGCAAGGGUGACUGUUUUAUUAAUUAAUUUUAUUUACUACCGUACCCUAAACCGACACAGGUUCGUAGGUAGAGUAUACUAAGGCGUUUGAGCUAAAAGUUGUUAAGGAACUCGGCAAGAUUACCUCAUAAGUUUGACGAUAAGAGGUACCUCUUAUAUAUUUACUAUAAUUUUUCACUCCUCUUAUCCUUCUUGUAUAGCAAGGCCUAGCCUGUUAUUUAAGGAGUUGAGGAGGCUAAACAUUUAAGCUGAUCUAUAGAUAAUUUAUAUAAGGUGGUGGCACAGAAUCGGAGGCCCCGACUGUUUACUAAAAACACAAUUCAGUGCAAUGAUGAAUAUCAUAGUAUACUGGAUGAAAUUUGCCCAAUGCCAUUAACAUAAGAGCGGUCAUAGUGAAAUGUGACUAAUUGAAAGUCUGGUUAAUAGCGGUCUUAACCUUGAGGAUCCUAAGGUAGCAAAAUAAGUUGGCCGUUAAAUGCGGUCCGGUAUCAAUAAUGUAACGAUGGUCUCACUGUCUCUACAACUUGCUCAGUGAAAUUGAAUUACCCGUGAAGAUGCGGGUUAUCUUCAGAGGGACGGGAAGACCCUAUGCAGCUUCUACUGUAGUUAGUUAUCAUGUAAAUCUAGAACAGCCUUUUCAGAUAGAAAAUAGGGAUGUCGAUAGACUUCUGGAAACCUUAUAGUUAAGGUUGGGUUUAUGUUUACCUUAUUUGUAUUUUAUACGAACAAAAAGGGAGAGUUGACUAAUUGGCAGUUUGACUGGGGCGGUCGUCUUUAAUAGAGUAGCAAAGUACAUCCAAAUUUUUCCACAACAAUUAAUAUGUAAUAUAUAAUAUAUUAUCUAUUAAAAUUAUCAAAACAAGUCUUAUUUUUUUAUUUAAGACUAAGGAGAUAGUCUAAAAAAAGACUGUCGUUUACUGCUGCGUAGUAAGGAGAAGAAGUAUUUAACUUAAAAUUUUCAGUCCGCCAGCAGAGAACUUAUUUAAGCAAAGCUAAAAUUUUUAUAUAUUCAAAUUUUUCACAAAUAAUUUCUCCCACUUUUUUUAAAUUUAAUAAAUUUAAUUUAAGAGGGGGAAAUACUUAAUUAAUUUUUAAUUAAGAAAAUAAAGAAACUUAGUAAUCCACCUUUUUCAUAAAGGAAAAUCUUUAAAAUUUUUCUCCCAUAUCUUCUUUAUUCUAUUUUUAUGAAUGGAAGACUAAAUUAUUUUAUAUAUUAAUGUAAAAUGGGGGGAUGGGGGACUAUGAAAAAUUAAAAAAAAUUAUUGUAAAAUUAUAACACAUUUAUAAAAAAACAAUAACUUUAAAAAAUAAAAUUAAAAUUGAAAAAAAAUUAAAAAACAAUUAACAUAAAAGUUAUUAAAGGUAUGGCUAGACAUUGAAUGGAGGUCAAUCGACCAGUGAAGGGUCGCGCAGAGUUUAAUGGCGGAAAGCAUGCCUAACUGAAAGACCUAUAAGUCGCACAGAUACGUAAGUAGGGCAUAGUGACCCCUCGCUAUAGUAUGGAAUAGACGGGGAUCAAUAAAUAAAAGUUACGCUAGGGAUAACAGGCUGAUCACCGACGAGAGUACACAUUGUCUCGGUGGUUUGGCACCUCGAUGUCGACUCAUCCUAUCCUCCGGGGGAAGAAGCUUGGAAGGGUUCGGCUGUUCGCCGAUUAAAAGGGUACGCGAGUUGGGUUUAAUACGACGUGAGUCAGUAUGGUCCCUAUCUUCUGAAGAGAUAAGUAGUAAAAAGGGGCAGACCUUCUAGUACGAAAGGAUCAAUAGGCUGUGUUUCUCUAGUGUACCAAUUGUUUUUACUUUAUUAUAAUGGACUCAAUUUAAAUAAAAUUGAGGAAGGCUGAGCAGCAAGCAAAGCAUCUUUUUUUUAUUUAUUAUUUAUUAUUUGUUAGCCCCUAAAGUGUUAAAAUAUUUUAGGGUAAGAAGGAAAUUUUAAAUAUAAAAAGGUAAUAAUUUAGGAACGCAUAGUUGGGUAGCCACAAACAUAAUAGAUAAGUGCUGAAUGUAUAUCAAGCAAGAAUCUAACCCCUAGAUACUAAAAAACGGAUCUUUUUACUUAUUAAUUAAAAUAAAAAAAAGAGUAUUAUGAAAUGAAGUAUUAAAUUAAAAAAAUUAUCAGAUCGUAAUCGUAAAAAGUCUAAAACCGUAAAUUAAGAAAUAGAACAUUUCUAGUUAGGCUGCAAAUGAGCUUACUGUAAAGUAUUAAGUUUAGCAGUACUAAUUUAUAAAUAAACUUGAUGUU
rfam:Moniliophthora roreri mitochondrion, complete genome.